rnacentral:rRNA from 1 species
CCUACGGGCGGCAGCAGUAGGGAAUCUUCCACAAUGGACGAAAGUCUGAUGGAGCAACGCCGCGUGAGUGAAGAAGGGUUUCGGCUCGUAAAGCCCUGUGGGUAGUGAAGAAAGAUAGAGGUAGUAACUGGCCUUUAUUUGACGGUAAUUACUUAGAAAGUCACGGCUAACUACGUGCCAGCAGCCGCGGUAAUACGUAGGUGGCAAGCGUUGUCCGGAUUUAUUGGGCGUAAAGCGAGUGCAGGCGGUUCAAUAAGUCUGAUGUGAAAGCCUUCGGCUCAACCGGAGAAUUGCAUCAGAAACUGUUGAACUUGAGUGCAGAAGAGGAGAGUGGAACUCCAUGUGUAGCGGUGGAAUGCGUAGAUAUAUGGAAGAACACCAGUGGCGAAAGCGGCUCUCUGGUCUGCAACUGACGCUGAGGCUCGAAAGCAUGGGUAGCGAACAGGAUUAGAUACCCCUGUAGUC